ACAUUGAUAGCUUAAUUUAUAGAGCGUGGCACUGAAGAUGCCAAGGUGACGGCUAUCGUCUCAAAGUA
rnacentral:tRNA from 1 species